UAAUUUUGAGGCUGUGUGUCGAAAGUUCGAAACGUCAAAAAUUGUCAGUGUUAAAAAAAAUUGUCGAUUGGCACAGCACUCGUUCUUUCUUCAUACUCAGAGCGUGUGUCAAAUGAUAGCAAUCUCCUUUGAUGAGUUGUAAAAAUGACGUAUGGGGUUGUUUUUUACAUUGGUGAGAAAAAAUUUUCAUUUUGUUGUGCCAAUCGACCAUUUUCUCUAACACUGACAAAUUUUGACGUUUGUAAAAAAUCAAAAGCGUAAUAAUACAGGAAAAAGCCAGAAAAUAAAGGUUAUUUGCGUAAUGAAUAUUUUUCAAAAAUAUUUUCCAUUACUGCUAGCAAUUUUAUUGCAAAUGCGAACGUUGUAAUAUGGAGAUGUUUACAUGAAAAUGAUGAACGAAACUCAUGCCAGGAUUACAGUUAAAUGUAUUUCUAAGGUUUGUAUUGUGUUCCACAGUGAAACCCUUCGAAUGAAUGCAGCUGCAUCCCUUGUGAUGAAAAUAAUGAGUUUAGAAAGUUCUUCGAAAUUAUCUAAGGAGAUGGGGAAAAAAGAAAUAUGAAGACUACAAGUUGACGCGAAAUUUACUACUUUUUAAAUGACACGUCAAUCAUAUUUUCUCUUACGAUUAAAGUAUAAUUCCGAGGUAAUUUUCAUAUAUUUAUAAUAAAACAAGAAUAUAUAGCAAUUAAA